AGAUUGAACGCUGGCGGCAUGCCUAACACAUGCAAGUCGAACGGGAGUAGCAAUACUCUAGUGGCGGACGGGUGAGGAAUACGUAGGAAUUUGCCCUUAAGUGGGGGAUAACCCGGGGAAACCCGGAUUAAUACCGCAUGACCUCGAAAGAGCAAAGUGGGGGAUCGCAAGACCUCACGCUUUUGGAGAAGCCUACGUCGGAUUAGCUAGUUGGUGAGGUAAUGGCUCACCAAGGCGACGAUCCGUAACUGGUCUGAGAGGAUGAUCAGUCACACCGGAACUGAGACACGGUCCGGACUCCUACGGGAGGCAGCAGUGGGGAAUAUUGGACAAUGGGACGCAAGCCUGAUCCAAGCAAUGCCGCGUGUGUGAAGAAGGCCUUCGGGUUGUAAAGCACUUAAGUUAGGAAGAAAAACUACGACUACGUAACACAAGUGUAGUCUUAGACGGUAACCGUACAAGAAUUAAGACAACCGGACUAACUACUGUAGCUAGACACGACC
rnacentral:rRNA from 1 species